rnacentral:rRNA from 1 species
GGGUCAGUAGGUUGGUCGUGCCACCGGUACGUACUGGUCUCACUGAUUCCUCCUCCCUGAAGAACCGUAAUGCCAUUAAUUUGGUGUUGCGGGGAAACAGGACUGAUACUUUGAAAAAAUUAGAGUGUUUAAAGCAAGCUAACGUUUGAAUACAUUAGCAUGGAAUAAUGAAAUAGGACGAUCGAUCCUAUUUUGUUGGUUUCUAGGAUUGACGUA